CAAAAACGAAAGCGGUCAGCGGCUCGUCUCCGUGGCCUGGAGGCUAAGCGAACGGGUUGGGCUGCGCGUGUACCCCGGUUCGAAUCUCGGAUCAGGCUGGAGCCGCAGCUAACGUGGUACUGGCACUCCCGUCUCGACCCAGGCCUGCACAAAACCUCCAGGAUACGGAGGCGGGUCGUUUU
rnacentral:ncRNA from 2 species